GGACUACCAGGGUUUCUAAUCCUGUUUGCUCCCCACGCUUUCGCGCCUCAGCGUCAGUAUUGGUCCAGAAAGUCGCCUUCGCCACUGGUGUUCCUUCCGGUAUCUACGCAUUUCACCGCUACACCGGAAAUUCCACUUUCCUCUACCAUACUCUAGUUGUGCAGUAUCAAAUGCAGUUCCCAGGUUAAGCCCGGGUCUUUCACAUCUGACUUACAUAACCGCCUACGCGCUCUUUACGCCCAGUAAUUCCGAUUAACGCUCGCACCCUCUGUAUUACCGCGGCUGCUGGCAC
rnacentral:rRNA from 1 species